rnacentral:rRNA from 1 species
GUGCCAGCCGCCGCGGUAAUACGAACCGUCCAAACGUUAUUCGGAUUUAUUGGGCUUAAAGGGUACGUAGGCGGCCCUGUUAGUCGGGUGUGAAAUCCCUCGGCUCAACCGAGGAACUGCGCCCGAUACUGCAGGGCUUGAGGGAGACAGAGGUAAGCGGAACUGAUGGUGGAGCGGUGAAAUGCGUUGAUAUCAUCAGGAACACCAGUGGCGAAAGCGGCUUACUGGGUCUCUUCUGACGCUGAGGUACGAGAGCUAGGGGAGCGAACGGGAUUAGAUACCCCGGUAGUCCUAGCUGUAAACGUUGAGCACUUGAUUGAGGAUCCCCCCAUAGGUUCUCGGUCGAAGCGAAAGUGAUAAGUGCUCCGCCUGGGGAGUAUGGUCGCAAGGCUGAA